AUAACGGUGUCUUUAGACACCAUCGAUCUUCUGUGAAAUUAUCUUU
rfam:Picea glauca, whole genome shotgun sequence.